rnacentral:lncRNA from 1 species
UGUAUAAUUUUAAGGAAUCUAUAGCAGUGCUAUGAAGGUUAAUAAAAAACAAUUUUAAUAAAUUUUUUUUUUUGAGAGAUAGAUAACACGCUACCCAUUUCGUUUAUUUCAUUUAGAAAUAAACUUACUAGAAAUGUGAGUCAACUAGGAUUCGAACUUGGGACCUCGGGUACCAACCACCAAGUCCUUUGCCACUUGCUCCAGGGACGGUCGGUAAUUUUAAUAAAAUAUGGGUGAGAAAAUGGGAG